rnacentral:sRNA from 2 species
UAUUCUGCCCCAUGGGGAAGGAUGAGAAGCUUCGACUAAGGUUCGACUCGAGCGCCAGCGAGAGAACGUUGCCACAGGCAACGGCCCGAAGGGCGAGGAGAGAUAGCGACGAGUUAUCCUUCCCCCACCACCA